UAAACGUUAUUGGAAAAAAAGUAAACAAAAAGGCUUGGAGAAAAAAACGGCAGGAAGUUUUUCAGUAAGUUUUGCAAAAGUGAUUCGCAAAACGUUGUUGCGAGGGUGGGAUUCUUUCAGUUUACGAAGGAAAAUUGAAAUUGUGCAGCGAUAACCGAGAAGUUGCAGCCUCCAUUUUGAUCAAGACGACUUGUAUAUCGACACCGGUGGCAAUGUAAAACACCGCAAAAUGCAUUUCCAAUCUACAAGUUGGCACAGCCAGCAGCUGAAUGGGCUCAGGAUACUUUUGGAGAUUGCAUGGAAUCGUCCUCUUCGACUGCACCUCGACGUUGGAUUUAUUUGGAGGGAAUUCAUCCGGCCGGUUAAUGCUGAGAGCGAGGUGUCCUCGAGUACCCGGCAUGAACCAGCCAAACUGGCUACAACGCAACGACCCAAGACAUAACGACCGGGUUACAAACCAUUCUCGUCUGUCUGUCCGAAAUCGAUCGGAUGGAUUCGAUGGAAAAGUGCAAACCUUUUGCGGUACGUCAUUUUCAGCAGAUGGGAGUAAAACGUUCGCUACUGCCAGUGAUUGCCAAUACCGAGGAGGUUUACUACCGGAGACAACUGCAUUUCAGUCCGACCGUAUCGGGCGAUGUUGUGAACGAAGUGACCUCCGGGAACUGAGUCACCAGUGCGACCAGAUUACGCAUCAGUCUCGCCGAGCCAGGAACCGCCCACUCCGACGCUACUAUCGUUGAUAACCAUCGGAACUUGAUCGAAACCCUAGAACCGAUAAUUUUAUGGAAGUUAAUAAAAACUGUAAUCUGCUGUUCAAUCAAACCUUGAAAAAUGUUGAUCACUUAAAUUGAAUCAUUAAAAAUACAACAGA